CCGGCUAACUACGUGCCAGCAGCCGCGGUAAUACGUAGGGUGCAAGCGUUAAUCGGAAUUACUGGGCGUAAAGCGUGCGCAGGCGGUUUUGUAAGUCUGAUGUGAAAUCCCCGGGCUCAACCUGGGAACUGCAUUGGAGACUGCAAGGCUAGAGUGUGUCAGAGGGGGGUAGAAUUCCACGUGUAGCAGUGAAAUGCGUAGAGAUGUGGAGGAAUACCGAUGGCGAAGGCAGCCCCCUGGGAUAACACUGACGCUCAUGCACGAAAGCGUGGGGAGCAAACAGGAUUAGAUACCCUGGUAGUCCACGCCCUAAACGAUGUCUACUAGUUGUCGGGACUUAAUUGUCUUGGUAACGCAGCUAACGCGUGAAGUAGACCGCCUGGGGAGUACGGUCGCAAGAUUAAAACUCAAAGGAAUUGACGGGGACCCGCACAAGCGGUGGAUGAUGUGGAUUAAUUCGAUGCAACGCGAAAAACCUUACCUACCCUUGACAUGGCAGGAAUCCCGAAGAGAUUUGGGAGUGCUCGCAAGAGAACCUGCACACAGGUGCUGCAUGGCUGUCGUCAGCUCGUGUCGGAGAUGU
rnacentral:rRNA from 1 species